AAGGAUCAUUAUCGAGAGGGGGGCCCUGCGCCCCAGGGGCUUGCCCCGCACCUUUCCACCCUUUGUGUAUCUUCCACCGUUGCUUUGGCGGACCCCGGGGCUUACCCCCCGGCGCCGGCCCUGUAACAAGGGCGGACGAGCGCCCGCCAGAGGCCCAUUAAACCCUUUUAUAUCAGUGUAAGUCUGAGUUUACGGAAUAAUCAAUCAAAACUUUCAACAACGGAUCUCUUGGUUCUGGCAUCGAUGAAGAACGCAGCGAAAUGCGAUAAGUAAUGUGAAUUGCAGAAUUCAGUGAAUCAUCGAAUCUUUGAACGCACAUUGCGCCCUUUGGUAUUCCGAAGGGCAUGCCUGUUCGAGCGUCAUUACACCCCUCAAGCAUUGCUUGGUAUUGGGCGUUCGCCCCCCGGCUCCGGGGUGGCGCGCCCGGAAUUCAGUGGCGGUCCAGGUAGACUUCAAGCGCAGUAGACUUAUGUUCGCUUUGGAAGCCUUUCUGCCUGCGGCCCGCCAGCGAAACCUUUUGACCCCCAAUCAUUGACCUCGGAUCAGGUAGGGAUACCCGCUGAACUUAA
rnacentral:rRNA from 1 species